rnacentral:rRNA from 1 species
GAUGAACGCUGGCGGCGUGCCUAAUACAUGCAAGUAGAACGCUGAAGGAGGAGCUUGCUCUUCUGGAUGAGUUGCGAACGGGUGAGUAACGCGUAGGUAACCUGCCUGGUAGCGGGGGAUAACUAUUGGAGACGAUAGCUAAUACCGCAUGACAACAGUUAUUGCAUGAUAACUGUUUAAAAGGGGCAACUGCUCCACUACCAGAUGGACCUGCGUUGUAUUAGCUAGUUGGUGAGGUAACGGCUCACCAAGGCGACGAUACAUAGCCGACCUGAGAGGGUGAUCGGCCACACUGGGACUGAGACACGGCCCAGACUCCUACGGGAGGCAGCAGUAGGGAAUCUUCGGCAAUGGACGGAAGUCUGACCGAGCAACGCCGCGUGAGUGAAGAAGGUUUUCGGAUCGUAAAGCUCUGUUGUAAGAGAAGAACGAGUGUGAGAGUGGAAAGUUCACACUGUGACGGUAUCUUACCAGAAAGGGACGGCUAACUACGUG